rnacentral:tmRNA from 1 species
GGGGAUGUAUUUGGUUUCGACGAUAAUCUAGAAACAAAGAUAGCGAGUAGUGGAUGGUCGCUUUGGCCACUUUAAAAAAGCGAAAUAAAAAUAAACGCUGAUAGACAAUUAGCAUACGCUGCCUAAGUGCAACGUCGUCUUACCAUAGAGCCUACUUAAUAUGAAUAAGGCGUCGACUUAUAGUAGGAAACAAAAUUAUUUCUGCCUGGGAAUAAUGGGUAUCUAAAGGCUACCAAAAAAAUUCAAGCCUGUUUAUUUGCAAGAAUUUGAGGGAAUAAAAAAUAAUAAACUACACUCGUAGAAGUUUUUGUGGAAGGCUUAUUGGACGAGGGUUCGACUCCCUCCAUCUCCACCA